UACGAAGGGGGCUAGCGUCGUUCGGAAUCACUGGGCGUAAAGCGUAUGUAGGCGGAUUGUUAAGUCAGGGGUGAAAUCCCGAGGCUCAACCUCGGAACUGCCCUUGAUACUGGCUUUCUUGAGUUCGGGAGAGGUGAGUGGAACUCCUAGUGUAGAGGUGAAAUUCGUAGAUAUUAGGAAGAACACCAGUGGCGAAGGCGGCUCACUGGCCCGAUACUGACGCUGAUGUACGAAAGCGUGGGGAGCAAACAGG
rnacentral:rRNA from 1 species